CUACUACUCCCUCCAUCAGAAAAUACUUGUCAUUGAAAUGGAUGUAUCUAGAUGUAUUUUAGUUCUAGACACAUCCAUUUUGAUGACAAGUAAUUCCGGACGGAGGGAGUAUUAU
rnacentral:pre_miRNA from 1 species